UACGUAGGGUGCGAGCGUUGUCCGGAAUUACUGGGCGUAAAGAGCUCGUAGGUGGUUUGUCGCGUUGUUCGUGAAAACUCACAGCUCAACUGUGGGCGUGCGGGCGAUACGGGCAGACUAGAGUACUGCAGGGGAGACUGGAAUUCCUGGUGUAGCGGUGGAAUGCGCAGAUAUCAGGAGGAACACCGGUGGCGAAGGCGGGUCUCUGGGCAUUAAACUGACGCUGGAGGAGCG
rnacentral:rRNA from 1 species